rnacentral:rRNA from 1 species
AGCAGCCGCGGUGAUUCCAGCUCCAAUAGCGUAUAUUAAAGUUGUUGCAGUUAAAAAGCUCGUAGUUGAAUUUCGGGGUCAGUAGGUUGGUCGUGCCACGGGUAUGAACUGGUCUCACUGAUUCCUCCUUCCUGAUGAACCGUAAUGCCAUUAAUUUGGUGUUGCGGGGAGACUGGACUGUUACUUUAGAAAAAAUUGAGUGUUUAAAGCAGGCUAACGCUUGAAUACAUUAGCAUGGAAUAAUGAAAUAGGACGUUCGGUCUUAUUUUGUUGGUUUCUAAGAUUGACGUAAUGAUUAAUAGGGAUAGUUGGGGGCAUUAGUAUUCAAUUGUCAGAGGUGAAAUUCUUGGAUUUAUUGAAGACUAACUACUGCGAAAGCAUUUGCCAAGGAUGUUUUCAUUAAUCAAGAACGAAAGUUAGGGAUCGAAGACGAUCAGAUACCGUCGUAGUCUUAACCAUAAACUAUGCCGACUAGGGAUCGGAUGAUGUUAAUUUUUAAUGUACUCAUUCGGCUCCGUUA